UACAGCUUCUCUCAAAGGCAAAGAGGCGACUUAAAGUUAAUGGAGUAUAUCAACUUUUCAGAUUUAGAAAUCGGAAUGAGGACGUUCUAGAAAUUAAUGGACCUACUUCUCGGAAAUACUGAAUUGCAGUGUACUGGUUACUUCAUCUACAUUUAAUAGGUUAGGUUUGCGCGGGUUGAAUACUUGAAUGUGGACACUGAUAUACACAGGAUCAAAUACUUGGCAUUCAACCUACAGCGAGACCUCUUCCUGGUGGAAUACUACAGUGAAUGGU